AUGAACGCUGGCGGCGUGCCUAAUACAUGCAAGUCGAGCGAACGGACGAGAAGCUUGCUUCUCUGAUGUUAGCGGCGGACGGGUGAGUAACACGUGGAUAACCUACCUAUAAGACUGGGAUAACUUCGGGAAACCGGAGCUAAUACCGAAUGAUAUUUUGAACCGCAUGGUUCAAAAGUGAAAGACGGUCUUGCUGUCACUUAUAGAUGGAUCCGCGCUGCAUUAGCUAGUUGGUAAGGUAACGGCUUACCAAGGCAACGAUGCAUAGCCGACCUGAGAGGGUGAUCGGCCACACUGGAACUGAGACACGGUCCAGACUCCUACGGGAGGCAGCAGUAGGGAAUCUUCCGCAAUGGGCGAAAGCCUGACGGAGCAACGCCGCGUGAGUGAUGAAGGUCUUCGGAUCGUAAAACUCUGUUAUUAGGGAAGAACAUAUGUGUAAGUAACUGUGCACAUCUUGACGGUACCUAAUCAGAAAGCCACGGCUAACUACGUG
rnacentral:rRNA from 1 species